rnacentral:lncRNA from 1 species
CCUAUAUAGCACCUUAUGGGCUUAUUUUCAUGUUUGCCAAAUGGGCCUUCAGUAAAUCAGCCUCAAUUCUUUGUGUUUUCUAUGAUGAGAUUGUGCUGAUGAGACUCAGGUGAUUUUUCUCCUGUUUUGGAGUAGAUUGCAAGUAUGGAUUGGUAAAAAAAGGUUAUGUUUGGAUUUAGAGUCGGUUGUAGCACUCAUGCCUUGUUUUGC